AUGAUCAGGACUGAACACAGACGGCUCACCAUGGAGUUUGGGCUGACCGGGCUUUUCCUUCUUGCUAUUUUAAGAGGUGUCCAGUGUGAGGUGCAGCUGGUGGAGUCUGGCGGAGGCUUGGCGAAGCCUGGAGGGUCUCUGAGACUCUCCUGUGCAGCGUCUGGAUUCACCUUCAGCAGUGCUAGCAUGAGCUGGGUCCGCCAGGCUCCAGGGAAGGGACCACAGUGGGUCUCAUACAUUAAUAAAGAUGGUAGUAGUACAUACUACGCAGACUCCGUGAAGGGCCGAUUCACCAUCUCCAGAGACAACUCCAAGAACACUCUGUAUCUGCAAAUGAACAGCCUGAGAUCCGAGGACACGGCCGUGUAUUACUGUACUAUUGACACAGUGAGGGGAAGUCAGUGUGAACCUAGACAGAAACCUCCCUGCAGGAGGGGCUCAGGACCACCAGGGGGCGCUCAGGCCCCGCACUCAAGGACCAUCACAGAGGCAGGUGCAGAUGGGGGUUAA